rnacentral:misc_RNA from 1 species
GCGAGUAUGGACCCUGCCCUAGUGGCUCGUCAGUCCCAUCAUAUAACACCUUAUUCGUGAACCAGUCAGUGGGUCAGCUGGACGAUGAAAGCCUUAGGCGACUAGCCGGCCGUCGGUCCCUCCUUUAUAACCCGUUUAUGUGAAGUUAUGGAAAGUACUUGUAUAAUCUAGUAC